rnacentral:lncRNA from 1 species
UGACUCAGGGUUAAACUAUCAACCCUGAUGAUAUCAUCCGAAUCGUGCUCAACUCAAUUAGUCCUGUGACUCCUCACUAGGACUACCCUGGCCAAGAUUUUGCUAAAUUGAAACACGACUGUACACAGCUCCUAAACUGGAGUGGUCAAUCCCAUCUUGACACACGCACCGACAAGUCAAGUACUUGACUACACCCAGCAGCCUUCCGUCACUGAAUUAAAAAUUCAAGUAGUCCAGUGCCUAAGUGCAGUGAGUUGCUUGCAAGUCACCGUGGCGGUCUCAGGUCGGAGGGAUAUUUAUAUCCAUAUCCCAUCGGAGCAAAUCUUGACAGCAGAAAUAGCUCCGGAGUUGGUCACGUUCAGUGCAGAUGUACCAUUAUAUCUCACCUGUAUGCCAUACCAGUGUCUCCACACUCUUUGGUUAUGAGGACAACCAACCCAUAUGGCACAUAAUGACCUAUGCUUGAUAAACGUUGUCGUCCUUGGUAACAACG